AAUAGUCACAAUGGUGACAGGAAGCAGAAUGGUGAGUGUUGGGGCUGGAGAGGGGGUGGUAUUCAGAGGCACUAUCUCAUGAAGACGGAGUAUCAUUUGGGGAAGACGGAAGGUUCUGGAAACGGACGGUGUAAUGGUUAUACAGCUAUGUGAAUGUUCUUGGUGCUGCAGAAGUGGCCACUGGGAUGAUGACAAAUUUUAUGUGAUGUCUAUUUUGCCACAAUCAAAAGCACAUUCAGUGGAGAAAAAAAAACAACCAAGCUCAUGAUUCAUAAAACCUUGGCGGCUUCGGGUAAAAUACGACGAUGCACAACAGUACUAAACACUGCCAUUUGUCAACAUUCUCUGGACUACAGAGCAACAGGCUCACGUCAUCUUCCCAAAGACUUUCCUGUGGCAGGCUGGAUGGGGCGUGAUGUCCAGAAAAGCAGGUGCCGAUUCCAAGGUUAG